CUUCUUCUUUUUUUUUUUUUUUCUUUUUUCUUCCCUUUCCUUCCUUUCUUUUGGGUUUAGAGAAGCCCUUUCAAUAUUUCCUUUAACCUGGGUUUUGUGUUACUGUAUUUUUUAAGUUUUUGUUUGUUGGAAAAAAUUUUUAUUUCCCCUUCUAUUUUAAAUGAUAUUCUUGCUGGAUAGAGUAUUCUAGGUUGCAUAUUUUUUCCUUUGAGCACUUUAAAUAUCUCUUGCCAUUCCCUCGUGGCCUGUAGUGUUUCUGUAGAGAAAUCAGCUGAUAUUCUUAUGGGGGUUCCCUUGUAGGUAACAUUCUGUUUUUCUCUUGCUGCCUUUAGGAUCCUCUCUUUAUCACUAAUUUUGCCAUUUUUAUUAUGAUGUGUCUUGGUGUGGGUCUGUUUGGGUUCAGUUUGUUUGGGGCCCUCUGUGCUUCUUGUAUCUUGAAUCCAGUAUCCUUUAGACUUGGGAAGUUUCCAUCGAUAAUUUCUUCAAAUAUAUUUUCCAUUCCCUUAUCUUUUUCUACUCCUUCUGGAAUUCCUAUUAUGGGUAGAUUGGCCCGCUUUAUAUUAUCUCAUAGGUCUCUUAUAUUGCUUUCCAGUUUUUUGAUUCGGUUUUUUGUCUGUUGACCAGAUUGAGUGAUUUCCAUUAUUCUAUCUUCCAUAUCACUGAUUCGUUCUUCUGCAUUAUUCAUUCUGGUUUUUACUGCCCCUAGUUCAGUUUGCAUCUCUGCAAAUGAAUGUUCUAGUUUUUCUUGGCUCCUCCUUAUAUUUUCUAGUUCCUUUCUGAGGGUGUCUGCAUUACUGUUCAUAUCUUCUCUUAAUUCCUUCAGUAUUUUCAGUAUUUCUCUUUUGAAUUCCAGGUCUGUCAGACUGCAGAGAUCUGUUUCAUUGUUGACUGUUUUAGGUGAGUUCUCCUGUUGGUUUGACUGGGGGUGGUUUCUCAGCUUCUUCAUCUUGCUUGUUGUUUUCUUUCUCCUGAGGGAGUUGUACUCUCCGUUAUCGGGCAGUGUUUGCCUUGUCACUGCCGUGGAAUAUUUCCUGAGGGCUGGCGUUGUUGGUCAAUCUUUUUUGAGGCAGUGUGGCUUUUCUGGAGUGUUGAUGGGGCUAACAGUGUUUCUUUGAAGCAGAGGAGGACUUCCUGAGGGCAGACAGGACUGGGAGGUCCACACCACGAUGGUAGCAGAUUUCACUUGGUCAUGCAGAGCUUGCUCUGGUGUUUUUAGGCUGUGGGGUUCUUGCAGGGGGUUGGCGGUGUUGGGCAGCUGCUCUUCAGGGGUGCAUCACCCCCUGGGGGCUGGAGCAGCUAUCUGGGUCACUGAGAACCUAAGAGGCUCUUCCCUAGGGCAGCCCAACUCAGAAGGACAGCCUGAGAAUGUAGGCAGAUCUUUUCACAGUCUGGCUGAGCUUGUUGCAGCUUUUCUGGGCUGCAGGGGCUCUUCCAGGGGGCUGGUGGUGCUGAGCAGUUAUUUCACGGGAGUGGGGCACCCCCUGGGGGCUUGGGCGGGUAGCAGGGCCAUUGGAGACCCAAGAGGCUCCUCCCCAGGGCAGCCCGACUCAGAAAAACCAUCUGAGGUCUUUUCCCGACUCGGCCAGGCUUGUUGCAGCUUUUCUGGGCUGCAGGGUGUCCUGCCUGGAGCUGGCAGUCCUAUGCAGCUGGUCCACUAGAGCAUCCCCUGGGGGCUUGGGCAGGUAGCAGGGCCGUUGGAAACCUAAGAGGCUCCUCCCCGGGGCAACCCGACUCAGUAAAACCGUCGAGAAUUAGGCCGAUCUAUUCACAGCCUGGCUAAGCUUGUUCUAGCUUUUCUGGGCUGCAGGCCUUUUCUCGGGGGCUGGUGGUGUUUAGUGCUGCUCUGCGGAAGUGUAGCCCCUCCAAAGGGCAAGCAGGCUUGUGCAGGGACAGCCCCUGCGGUGGUAGGCUUCAGGCAAUUGUUGAGGCCAGCCCUCCUGGAUGGCAGGCAGCCCCAGGUCCGGUGAGAACGUAGGGCGUGGCGGGGGUGGGGGGAGGGGAUGCACUGGGAAGCACAGCUUUCAGCUAGCUAGCGGGCCUGUAAGCUUGCUGUGGCGUGGGGGGUAUUCUAUGGGGACCCACCCCUUCUUCUCUCCCCUCCCCAGCACGGGCGCAGACCAGGCUCUUCUCCCAGGUUCCCUCUGAUGCAGCUUUCCACUUUCCUGCCCCUGGAGUAUUGCUCCCUUCCUCUGCGACAUCUUUGUUUUCUAGUCUCCCAGGCAGUCUCUGCCCCAUCAAAUGGUUUCUAGACCUCCCAAGCAGUUUCCGCUCUGCCCUGCCCCCCUAGCCGGGGGACUAAUCUCUGGAGCCGAGGUCUCGGUGCCCAGCCCCCACCCAGGCGUCCCCCGGCCCUUUCCUGGGGACUAACCUCUGGAGCCGAGGAUUCAGUGCCCAGCCCCCACCCAGGCGGCGCCCCCCCGGCCCUUUCUCGGGGACUAACCUUCUGCAGCGAGGUCUCGGUGUUCAGCCCCCACCCAGGCGUCCCCCGGCCCCCUCUCGGGGACUAACCUCUGGAGCCGAGGAUUCGGUGCCCAGCCCCCACCCAGGCGUCUCAAUUUUUGGUGACUGUGCCCGUAGUUCAGAUGGUCCGUUGGGUUCUUGAUCGGCUUUUCCGUACUCCAACUUACUGCUACACUCUUCUCUGCAUCUGGAGAUUCCUCUGGUUCGUUUGAUCUUUCGCCCGGUAGGUGACUUUCCAGGGUGCGGGAUCCCUUUCUCCUCCGCAGUUCCCUUUCGGGAGCGCCCGUCCCGCUCGGAUUCACCUUCUCUCACUCUCCUCUUUUCUCCCGUUCUGCCCAAUAAUGUCACGAACUUCUUGCCGUUAUUGGAGUUUAGGUUCCUCUGCCAGCGAUUGGUUGCUGUUCUGUGCGAGUCAUUUAUUCUGUAGAUGUGCUUUUUUUGUUGUGUUUGUGGGAGAGGGCGAGCGUGUCCCCCUACUCCUCCGCCAUCUUGUCCUCUCUUCAGUAAUUCUUAAUGUAUAUGCAUCUAACAACAGAAUAUCAAAAUAUAAGAAACAAAAACUUCUAGAACUACAAGGAGAAAUAGAUAAAUCUACUCUCAUAGUUUGAGACUGUAACACCCCUCUAUGAUAAAUGGACAGUUUCAUCAGUUAGAAAAUCAGUAAGGGCACAUUUGAACCCAACAAUACCAAAAAUCAACCGGAUAUCAUGGACAUCUACAGACUGCUUUAUCCAACAAUAGCAGAAGACAUAUAACUCUCAAGCUUACAUUGACAUUCACCAGUAUAGACCAUAUUCUGGGUCAUAAAACGUACUUUAACGAAUUUGAAAAAUAGAAAGCAUAUUAUGCUCAUCUCAGACCACAGUGGAAAUUAAACUAGAAAUUAAUAACAGAAAGAUAGCUACAAAGUCCCAAAUACUUGGAUAUUAAAUAAUGAACCUCUAAAUAACACAUGGAUCAACAAAGUAAUCUCAAGAGAAAUUAAAAAAUAUUUUGAACUAAAUGAAAAGGAAAAAUGAAAUUUAUCAAAGUUUGUGGGAUGCUGUGAAAGUGGUGUUUAGAGGGAGAUUUCUAGUAUUGAAUGCCUAAUUAGAAAAGAAGAAAGAUCUAAAGUAGUAAUUUAAUCUCCUUCAUUAUAAAA
rnacentral:lncRNA from 1 species